GAGGCUGACCCAAGCUCAGGAGAGGUGCUUGCUCCAUGCGGACGUGUACUGCCCAUGCUUCAGCGCUAGCAGGGUUUGCCAGGGAGCAAAGGACACCUCCACUUUCACCCCUGCACUUCUGACAAAGCUUGUCUGUGGCACGUUACCUCCUGAGGCCCGAAGCUCUGCAACUGCCCAGUGAAAACUGUUUGUUUCCAGGUGGAAUCUACACAGAAUGCAGCCUAUGUGGCCAACUUUCUGUUUUGGUGUCUGGAAAAGGAAAACCACAAAUAUCCAUGCUUUUCUUUGACUCCUAGCAACAGUGCUCAGUGUUGUGAAUAAAACCACCCUGAAGCUCUGCAGGAAGUACAGGAGGAAGACAAGCCGUUGGGCUAAUUUACAAGCUUUUCCUGCUCUAGAAACAGUUCUGAAGUGCUCCUCAGCAUCCCCUGUGCUGCUAAAUUACUUGCGGCUGCUGCAGCAACAGGAGCGUUCUGGUGGAAGUCUCUGCCAGCCAGGCGGCGCACACAGCACCGCAGCCCAGCUCCCCGCUCGCCAUGGGCACCGAGCUGUGCUCCUUUGCCUCCCGGCCAGGAUCAGCCGCUCCUUACAGCUGUAGGCCGGCUCCCGUGAGACACCGCUCCGGCAUCCCCAGGCAGGCAGCAUGGCGGGCAGGACGGGCCCUGUGGCUUGUAAAAGCUUUGAGGCGCCUGCCUUGCAAAGCCAUGGGAGCCCGCAGAGCACCCUUGCAGACUCAAUACUGGUGACCCAUUAAUAGCCAGAUCAAAAAAAAAGCCUUUUCCUCAUGCACCAGCCAGCAACAGCAACUGUGUCUGCACCAUCCUCAGAGCUGCAGCACACACAGCAAAGCACACCCACCAGCCCAGCCUUAAGAGCACUCUCCAGUAUCCCCUCCACAUAGCGCAGCUCACAGCUCUUGCACACAUCUGUAAGGAGCUACGCUCUUCCUGUACACCAGACACUUCUUGGACGAGGGAUUUUCAGAGGCCCCAGCUCAGCAAGCUGACAUCAUGUGCCUGAUGUUGCCAAACAAGGAAGAGCUGUUGCUAGAACAAUCAAUUUUUAAAAAUCUCUGACUGUUACCCUUAGUCCUGCAG